GCGGCGGCGGCGGCGGCGGCGGCGGCAGCCGGGCUGGGGGCGGCGAGUGGCCCGCGCGACACGCGCCGGCCUCGACCCUAUGCUUUGAUUCGCGUGGCGCAGGCGCCUACUGCCCCGCCGGCGGGGCCCGGGCUUCCUGCCGCGGGAUGUUCUCCCGAAGGAGCCACGGGGAUGUGAAGAAGUCCACCCAGAAGGUGCUGGACCCGAAGAAGGACGUGCUGACCCGCCUGAAGCACCUGCGGGCGCUGCUGGAUAAUGUGGAUGCAAAUGAUCUUAAGCAGUUUUUUGAGACCAACUAUUCUCAGAUAUAUUUCAUCUUCUAUGAAAAUUUUAUAACACUGGAAAAUAGUUUGAAAUUAAAAGGGAAUAAUAAGUCACAAAGGGAGGAGCUGGACUCCAUCCUCUUCCUUUUUGAAAAAAUACUGCAGUUUCUACCUGAACGAAUUUUCUUUCGAUGGCAUUACCAGAGUAUAGGCUCAACUUUAAAGAAGCUUCUACACACUGGAAAUUCUAUUAAGAUAAGAUGUGAAGGAAUCAGGCUGUUUCUUCUGUGGCUUCAAGCACUUCAGACAAACUGUGCAGAAGAGCAGGUGCUGAUUUUUGCUUGCCUGGUGCCUGGUUUCCCAGCAGUCGUGUCAUCCAGGGGCCCUUGCACACUGGAGACACUCAUCAAUCCCAGCCCUAGUGUAGCUGAUGUAAAGAUAUAUCCAGAAGAAAUCACUCCACUCCUGCCAGCCAUAUCGGGGGAGAAGAUUGCUGAAGACCAAACAUGCUUUUUUCUUCAAAUACUGUUGAAGUAUAUGGUUAUUCAGGCUGCGAGCUUGGAGUGGAAGAAUAAGGAGAAUCAAGAUACUGGUUUUAAAUUUCUUUUUACAUUGUUUCGAAAGUAUUAUCUUCCUCAUUUAUUUCCAUCAUUUACUAAGUUAACAAACAUCUACAAACCUGUACUUGACAUCCCCCAUUUGAGACCAAAGCCUGUGUACGUUACUACAACUCGAGACAAUGAGAACAUUUACAGUACAAAAAUUCCAUAUAUGGCAGCUCGUGUUGUUUUUAUUAAGUGGAUUGUAACCUUCUUUUUGGAAAAAAAGUAUCUAACUGCAACACAAAACACUAAAAAUGGAGUUGAUGUAUUGCCUAAAAUCAUCCAGACUGUUGGUGGUGGUGCUGUGCAGGAGAGAGCGCCUGAGCUGGAUGGUGGUGGGCCCACGGAGCAGGACAAAAGCCAUUCUAACAGCAGCACCCUGUCGGACCGAAGACUCAGCAACUCCAGCCUCUGUAGCAUUGAAGAAGAGCACCGAAUGGUGUAUGAAAUGGUACAGCGGAUUCUCUUGUCAACACGAGGUUAUGUCAACUUUGUGAAUGAAGUAUUUCACCAGGCAUUUUUGUUGCCUUCCUGUGAGAUAGCUGUAACAAGAAAAGUAGUUCAAGUGUACAGAAAGUGGAUUCUCCAGGACAAACCUGUGUUCAUGGAGGAGCCAGAUAGAAAAGAUGUUGCCCAAGAAGAUGCUGAAAAAUUAGAAUUUUCCGAGACUGAUAGCAAGGAGGCCUCCUCUGAAAGUUCUGGUCAUAAACGAUCUUCCAGUUGGGGACGCACGUACUCCUUCACAAGUGCAAUGAGCAGAGGGUGUGUGACAGAGGAGGAAAAUACAAAUGUGAAAGCCGGCGUCCAGGCUUUGUUGCAGGUAUUUUUGACGAACUCUGCAAACGUCUUUUUGUUGGAACCAUGUGCUGAAGUUCCUGUGCUCUUGAAAGAACAAGUUGAUGCUUGUAAAGCUGUUUUGAUUAUUUUUAGGCGCAUGAUAAUGGAGCUUACAAUGAAUAAAAAGACAUGGGAACAGAUGUUGCAAAUACUACUCAGGAUAACAGAAGCUGUCAUGCAGAAGCCAAAGGAUAAACAAAUAAAGGACUUGUUUGCCCAGAGCUUGGCAGGGUUACUAUUUAGGACGCUCAUGGUGGCUUGGAUCCGAGCAAACCUCUGUGUGUACAUUUCUCGAGAGCUCUGGGAUGACUUUCUUGGUGUGCUAUCCUCCCUCACGGAAUGGGAGGAACUUAUAAAUGAGUGGGCCAACAUUAUGGACUCCUUGACAGCAGUGCUUGCAAGAACCGUUUAUGGAGUUGAGAUGACAAACCUACCUCUGGAUAAAUUAAGUGAACAAAAGGAAAAGAAGCAACGAGGCAAAGGCUGUGUUCUAGAUCCUCAGAAAGGAACCACCGUGGGGAGAUCCUUUUCUCUCAGCUGGCGGAGCCACCCAGAUGUGACCGAACCGAUGCGAUUUAGGAGUGCCACCACGUCUGGAGCACCGGGAGUGGAAAAGGCAAGAAAUAUUGUUCGCCAAAAAGCAGCUGCUAAGCGAAGCCAGUCUAUCAGCAACUGUGUCCACCUUUCUGAGGCUUUGCCUGCCACUAAAAGCGUCCCGCUCCUCCUUCACACCGUGAGCGCUCUCUUACCUGGUCUCUCUUACUCUUCUUGCUCUCACAGGCUGUCAGAAGUGGAGGAAUGUCAACAUUCAGAAAAUGCACCUGCAGCCGGAUCUGGCCAUCUCACGGUGGGGCAGCAGCAGCAGGUCCUUCGGAGCAGCAGCACCUCCGACAUCCCCGAGCCGCUGUGCUCAGAUUCUUCUCAGGGUCAAAAGGCAGAAAACAUACAGAAUUUGAGUUCUUCAGAGCCUCAGCCUAUUCAAGAGAAUAAAGGACAUGUGAAGAGAGAACAUGAAGGAAUAACAAUCUUAGUUCGAAGAAGCAGCAGCCCUGCUGAAUUGGAUUUGAAAGAUGAUUUGCAGCAGACACAAGGAAAAUGUAGGGAAAGACAGAAGAGUGAAAGUACCAACAGUGACACAACUCUGGGCUGUACCAAUGAAGCAGAGCUGUCCAUGGGCCCAUGGCAGACCUGUGAGGAAGACCCAGAGCUGAAUACUCCCACAGAUGUUGUGGCUGAUGCUGAUGCCCGUCAUUGGUUACAACUGAGUCCCACCGAUGCUUCGAAUUUAACAGAUAGCAGCGAGUGCCUCGCAGAUGACUGUAGUAUAAUCGCCGGGGGGAGCCUCACUGGUUGGCACCCAGACUCUGCUGCUGUGUUAUGGCGAAGGGUCUUGGGGAUCCUCGGAGAUGUGAAUAACAUCCAGUCACCCAAGAUCCAUGCCAGAGUUUUCUGCUAUCUCUAUGAACUCUGGUACAAACUAGCAAAGAUACGGGAUAAUCUAGCAAUAAGCCUGGAUAACCAGUCUUCUCCAUCUCCUCCAGUUUUGAUCCCACCACUCAGAAUGUUUGCAUCAUGGCUGUUUAAGGCGGUGACACUGCCAAAUAAAUAUAAGGAAGGCAAACUGCAAGCCUACAGGCUGAUCUGUGCCAUGAUGACCAGACGCCAGGACGUUCUGCCAAACUCAGAUUUCCUGGUGCAUUUUUACCUUGUGAUGCACCUGGGAUUAACCAGCGAGGAUCAGGAUAUCUUAAAUACCAUCAUAAGGCACUGUCCACCCCGCUUUUUCUCCCUGGGUUUUCCUGGCUUCUCAAUGCUGGUGGGGGACUUCAUCAUGGCCGCUGCCAGGGUCCUUAGCACAGACAUGUUGACGGCGCCUCGUUCAGAGGCUGUCACUGUCCUCGGCUCUCUGGUCUGCUUUCCAAAUACCUACCAGGAGAUUCCUUUACUGCAGUCAGUGCCAGAAGUAAAUGAGGCCAUUACAAGAACUGAAGAUGUCAAGCAUUACCUCAUAAAUAUUUUACUGAAGAAUGCCACAGAAGAACCAAAUGAAUGUGCAAGAUGCAUUGCCGUUUGCUCCCUUGGGGUCUGGAUAUGUGAAGAGCUUGCACAGUGUACAAGCCACCCUCAGGUGAAAGAGGCCAUCAAUGUGAUAGGAGUAACUCUGAAGUUUCCCAACAAAAUCGUGGCCCAGGUAGCUUGCGAUGUGCUUCAGUUGCUGGUUUCCUACUGGGAGAAGCUUCAGAUGUUUGAAACCUCUCUGCCUCGGAAAAUGGCAGAAAUCCUCGUGGCCACAAUUGCUUUUCUUUUACCAAGUGCAGAGUACUCCUCAGUGGAAACAGACAAGAAGUUUAUUGUGUCCUUGCUACUCUGCCUCUUGGACUGGUGCAUGGCAUUGCCCGUGAGUGUCCUUCUCCACCCCGUGUCCACGGUGGUCCUAGAGGAGCAACAUUCAGCCAGAGCCCCCUUGCUGGAUUAUAUCUACAGGGUUCUGCACUGCUGUGUGUGUGGCUCAAGCACGUACACCCAACAGAGUCACUACACACUGACCCUGGCUGACUUGUCAUCCACGGAUUAUGACCCCUUCCUGCCACUGGCAAAUGUGAAGAGCUCUGAGCCAGUUCAGUAUCAUUCAUCCGCAGAAUUGGGUAACCUGCUGACUGUUGAAGAGGAGAAGAAGAGAAGAAGUUUGGAGUUGAUCCCUUUGACUGCUCGAAUGGUGAUGGCCCACCUUGUGAACCACCUGGGGCACUACCCCCUCAGUGGGGGCCCUGCCAUACUGCACAGCCUUGUCAGCGAGAACCAUGACAAUGCCCAUGUGGAAGGCUCUGAGCUGUCCUCUGAGGUGUUCAGAAGCCCAAACCUGCAGCUGUUUGUAUUUAAUGAUAGCACCCUCAUCUCCUACCUUCAGACACCCACAGAAGGACUGGCAAGGGGAUCCCCAGUGGGCUGUCUCUCUGAUGUGAGAGUAAUUGUGAGGGAUAUCUCAGGGAAGUACUCUUGGGAUGGUAAGGUUUUAUAUGGACCUUUGGAAGGCUGCUUAGCACCCAAUGGAAGAAAUCCUUCACUUCUGAUUUCGAGCUGGCAUCAUGACACAUUUGGACCUCAGAAAGACUCUUCUCAAGUUGAGGAGGGGGAUGAUGUUCUUGACAAAUUACUUGAAAACAUUGGCCAUACAAGUCCUGAAUGCCUUUUACCAUCACAGCUAAAUCUAAAUGAACCUUCCCUACCCCCAUGUGGCAUGAACUAUGACCAAGAGAAGGAAAUCAUCGAGGUCAUUUUGCGGCAAAAUGCUCAGGAGGAUGAGUAUAUCCAGAGUCAUAACUUCGAUUCUGCAAUGAAAGUCACCAGCCAAGGGCAGCCCUCCCCGGUGGAGCCCCGAGGACCCUUUUAUUUCUGCAGGUUAUUGCUUGAUGACUUGGGAAUGAAUUCUUGGGACAGAAGGAAGAAUUUUCAUCUGUUGAAGAAAAAUUCAAAAUUAUUGAGAGAGCUGAAAAAUUUGGACUCCCGCCAGUGCCGUGAGACACACAAAAUCGCAGUGUUUUACAUUGCUGAAGGUCAAGAAGACAAGUGUUCAAUCCUCUCUAAUGAAAGAGGAAGCCAAGCAUAUGAAGACUUCGUUGCUGGACUUGGAUGGGAGGUGGAUCUCUCCACCCACUGUGGGUUCAUGGGUGGCCUUCAGCGCAAUGGCAGCACUGGGCAGACGGCCCCUUACUAUGCUACCUCGACUGUGGAAGUGAUUUUCCACGUUUCCACUCGAAUGCCGUCAGACUCAGAUGAUUCCCUCACCAAAAAGCUUCGUCACUUGGGGAAUGACGAGGUCCAUAUCGUCUGGUCUGAACACUCCAGAGACUACCGCAGGGGUAUUAUCCCAACCGCCUUUGGAGAUGUUUCAAUCAUUAUUUACCCAAUGAAGAAUCACAUGUUCUUCAUCGCGAUAACAAAGAAACCUGAGGUUCCAUUUUUUGGGCCUCUGUUUGAUGGAGCCAUAGUGAGUGGGAAGCUGCUGCCAAGCCUUGUAUGUGCCACGUGCAUCAACGCCAGCAGGGCUGUGAAGUGCCUCAUCCCACUCUACCAGAGCUUCUAUGAAGAGCGAGCUCUGUAUCUCGAAGCAAUAAUUCAGAACCACCGCGAAGUAAUGACAUUUGAGGAUUUCGCAGCCCAAGUCUUUUCUCCCUCUCCCAGCUACUCCCUCAGCGGAACGGAUUAAAACACGUAAAGGUCUCAUUACAAUAUUUGAGCAAGCCCCAACAGGUGACAGGAGCCUCAGAGCCCAGGUGAUCAUGUCAAGAUGGGGCAGAGAAGGGUUGUACAGUCCCCUCCCAGCAGAGCACCUUGCUGCAAAACUUCGCAUUUGCUGAGACCUCCGUCUCUAUGCAUGUCCUCCUGCUCCUGCUGCCAAAGUGGGGAGGGGCCCUGGCCUCCAGUCUGAGUGCUGACCUCGAAGAGCCCCUGAGUGAGGAGGAGACAGAACACCCUCUCCUGCCUCUGCCCCGAGCCACUAAACCCAGAAUCUCCAGGAAAUUUCGUUGCUGUACUAGUGCCCUCAGCAGGUCUUCCCAUUAGUGGACUUCUGAAGCCCAUGGUGAAUCCCACUACAGUGUCUCAGAUGGGACUCAAACUAGGCUAUAUCAUCUUGUCCUGAAACCUCACAAACCUUGGACUUCCAAAGAAGAAACGAAAAAGUCACCAAAAACCAGAGAUGAACCCACUGACACAUGGGCAUUGGUGUGCCUGCCCUGGGCAGAUCACAGCAGGAAAAGAUUCUGCGCUUUCAGGGAGGGGGCAGAGGGCAGCUGGCUUCUGUACCUCAAGUUGUUUCUUCUCAUUUAUGAACCCAAGCAUGAUUCACAAAGGGGCUGGCAAAACCAUUGUCUGAUUGAGGAAUGUGAUCGGCAUUGAUUUUGCUAGUUCCUUUUAUGUUA